GGAAUUUUUGAUAUUAUAGUCCCAAAACCCAGGCAAUUAAGCCAAUGAUCGACUGUCCCUGCCCAUUCUAAUGGGGCAUUCUAUUCCUUCAAGUCCCACAGCUUCAUGUGCAGCUUCUUAAGAACCCUCUCCCUCACAGUGUCCUUUCCUUUCGCGGAUUCUCUAAGAGCGGCAUCCACAUGAUCAGAAAGCAGUGACGAAGGGUCAGGUAAAAAUGCUAACAUGCAAAGAGCGGAAAUGCCGACAACAGCCUUUAAUUUGAAUUCGAUGCCAUCCAUUUCACUUCAUCUGCAAGAGGGCAUUCUUUGCUUCUUCUUCACUUGCACAAAGCCCUUCUGUCGCG
rnacentral:misc_RNA from 1 species